UACUGAUUUCAAUUUUAAGUGCUGCGUACUAUUCAACGUUUAGACGGUUUUCUGUUAAUGUUCCAUUAUUCUUUGAAUCUUUAAUUAAAAUAAAAGUAAACAUUUGAACAUUAUUUGCUAUAUCGAUAAAUUUAUUUAGUGCUUGAUUUCAAGUAAAGCUAUGAAGAGGAGAAGACGCUUUAACGAGAACAAAGAAGCUUCCGAGUUUCGUCCCAGAAAUUUCGACAACAUAAUAUGAAGUGGAAACAUAGAUAAUUUAAUUUGAGUGCAGCGUCUGGGAAAGAGGUAAAUUUCUUCACUUCGCUAACAGUUUGAGAAAGUCAUAAAAACUGUAGUUGUUUAUUGAUAAGGAAAGCAUUUGGAGACUAGUAUGCAAUUAAAGUUAUGAUCGUAUUGACAUUAAUAGAGUCAAUUCACAGAAAUUGCAAGAAAUUUAGAUAUUAAAGUAACAACAGUGGAAAGUAAUGAUGAUUUAGCAAUGACAAAAGGAGCUACCUAGUGUAAAGACGUUAUUUCAUCCAGUACUAGAUACCAAACAUCGAUCAAUAAAUUUACAACGCAAAAUCAGAGGACGCCAUCAGAGUUUGAGAUUAAUAGUUUUUAAUUGACCUUAAAAUUCAAAUGAAUU